rnacentral:rRNA from 1 species
AGGGAUACUUUGGGGCCGUUCCUUGUCUAUGUUCCUUGGAACAGGACGUCAUAGAGGGUGAGAAUCCCGUGUGGCGAGGAGUGCGGUUCUAUGUAAAGUGCCUUCGAAGAGUCGAGUUGUUUGGGAAUGCAGCUCUAAGUGGGUGGUAAAUUCCAUCUAAAGCUAAAUAUUGGCGAGAGACCGAUAGCGAACAAGUACAGUGAUGGAAAGAUGAAAAGAACUUUGAAAAGAGAGUGAAAAAGUACGUGAAAUUGUUGAAAGGGAAGGGCAUUUGAUCAGACAUGGUGUUUUGCGCCCUCUGCUCCUUGUGGGUGGGGGACUCUCGCAGCUCACUGGGCCAACAUCAGUUUUGGUGGUCGGACAAAUCCGUAGGAAUGUAGCUUACCUCGGUAAGUGUUAUAGCCUGCGGGAAUACGGCCAGCCGGGACUGAGGACUGCGACUUUUGUCAAGGAUGUUGGCAUAAUGGUUAUAUGCCGCCCGUCUUGAAACACGGACCAAGGAGUCUAACGUCUAUGCGAGUGUUUGGGUGUAAAACCCGUACGCGUAAUGAAAGUGAACGUAGGUUGGGGCCCUCUCGGGGGUGCACAAUCGACCAAUCCUGAUGUUUUCAGAUGGAUUUGAGUAAGAGCAUAGCUGUUGGGACCCGAAAC